CUUGAACUGGGAUCUGGACCCCUGGGCCCGAGGGACCCAUCACUGCGAGAUGAGUGCUCGUGGGGUGAGUGAAGGAGGGUAUCUUGUUCGUACCCAGGUACCCACUUCCACCCCCGACUGAUCUUAACGGAGGCGAAGAUUGCCGGACACUUGGAAACCCCAGGAUCGCGACCUCUGCGUCCUUCCCAUCUUUUCAGCCGAAAUGUAUUUUCCAGAACUUGAAGCUAAGCCGCAGAGAUGGAUGUUAAGUAAAGGACCCCAUAUCGACAGGCUGGCCUACAGCCAAGCUGAGAGAAGCUGAAGGAGACAGAUGGGCAGUCGACCCGGGACGGUGCGGGCAGAAGCCGCAGGCCAGCCUCGCCCCGACGACUCCUCCAGCAGAACAAAUGCGCCGGGCUUGGUGCCUGAAGUGCCGCAACAGGUGGCUGGCCAGGGCUGACUUCAUCAUUCAGGCAUCAUCGUUCCACCUUCGUCUCCCAGGCCAGGCCUCCCUGUGGGGAUGUUUUGCCAAACCCCUCCCGCUCGCCCCCAUUUGCAGAGGUUUUCUCCCGAUAUAUUUUGCCAUUCUGGGGAGGGGGUGGUGGUGGCGGGGGGUGGGGGGGGCGAGAGCUGGGGGAGGGUCUCCUCUGAGGUCAGUUGAGUAAAACUCUCGAUCUCAGUUCUCGGUGCUGGGAAAACUCAGGGAGUACUUGACAGAGCUUGAAAUCUUUCCUGGACCGCUGCUUGCACUUGAACUUGACUCUAGGUGCCGGUGCCGGGAGGAGGAGGGAAGGGAGGGGCGGUUGGGGAGAGGAGAGAGAAGGGAGGGUGGCAGGGAAAGGGGAGCAGAAAGAUGGAAAGGGAAGAUCUCGGGCAGCUUUUUGCAUCGCCUAUUGAUGACCUGAAGCUAUCAGUAUAAAUACAGAGCCUCAUACAUUAGAGGCAGGCAUAUAGGUUUAAAAAAUCGGGAUUGUUUAUACAGGUGCAGAACAAAGUCUUUCUUUGGAAAAGAUUAAUGGCAGGGAGACCGCUAGAUUUUCUCUAAACAGUCACAAAAACUGUACCCAGCUUCAACGCCAAGCGGGUCAUGGCCAGUUUCUUUUUCCAGAAGGAACUGCCUGACCCCAACGAUUCAUGUUUGUUUGUUUGUUUUUUUUUCCUUUAAACUAGCUCUUUCCUUCUUCCUGUUUUUUUCUUUCCCCUUCCUUCCUACUUUCUUUUCUUCCUUCCUUUUCAUCCUUCUUUUUCCUUCCUCCCUCUGAUCUCUUUCAAGAAAUAUAGCCAUUUCCUCUAUUUUCCCUUUAUUUUGUUUUCAUCUUCCCUUUCCCUCCAUUUCUUUCUAUUUUUAUUCUUUCACUCUUUUUUUCAAGUUGCAGACUCCUAAUGAAGAUUAAGAGAUGUAUCUUCACAUACAUUGCAUGUUAGUAUAUAACUGCAGUUUGCUUUAACAGGUUUGUAAUGACAUCUGAUACUACACUUUCAAAAUGCUUUUAGUUUUCCUUCUGUCUCAGUGAUUAGAAAAACCCCAUGAGCUGAACAGUGCUAAUAUAAUAUCUCUUUUGAAAAAUCAAUUGUUUUAAUUGUUUUGGCAAGUCCCCAUACACUGCAAAUAAAAAAUGAAAACUUUAGUUUUAUAUUUUAAAAACAAGCACACUGAAAACAAUUCCUAUUUGCCCAUGCUAAUAACCUUUGAGAUUUGUAACACAAAUAUACAGGUUUCUAUGGUAUAUAUUGAUGAUUUUGAAAUUCUUUUAAGAUGUUCUUUUUAAGUAUGCAGUGGGAGGUGGGUUAAAGUUACAUUAUCAAACAAACAUUAAAUACAUUUAAUAAUGGAUAAGACAUUAAUAAUCCCAGCUCUCCUGCUUAUUAACUGCAUGACCUUUGGCAAUUUUUUUUUGAGGCCCAGAUUACUGAUAUAUAAUAUGAAAUAUCCAUCUUGAAGAAAGUGAGAGUCUGUGAGUAAUUGCCUGGGCCACAGCCUGAUGCAUGAGAAAAAAAAUCAAUAAAUGCUAGUUAUUUGUAUUACUAUGAAUUGUGUGAUGCCCAACAUCACACAUCUAAUAAAUAUCAGUGUCCAGAACUGACCCAGGGUUUGUAAGCAAGGGCUUGUUCUGCCUGCUGUUUCAGGCAGCACCAGAGGUUUCUUUUCUUUAACUGCAGGCUUCUGUGGUUCAAGUGCAUGGUCCUAUUACCUGACAUCUCCCCCAGGCCUCAGAAAAGACCUCACUGAGGGAAACUGAUGGGACUACAUUAGAAACUUUCUUUCCCCAAGUUUUCUCCCCAUAAAGCCACAACAAUUCUCCCAGCCUCCCUUCCCCUAUUUGAAAACUGCUAAAUAAAUAAAUAUAAAUAAAACUCCUAAAUCAGUUACUGAAAGGGUUAAAUGAAAUUGUGGAGGAGCAGCACAGUGUAACACACUAAAGGUGCUUAAUUUGCUGAAAUAUAAAAAAUGCAGACUCUGAUUUUCUAAAAAGAGAGAAUGAGGUCACAGACCACAGAAAAGGCCAUUUAAUGCCACACACCCACCCCUUCCACCCCCGAGUACAUACCAAGCCCAUUUAAUGCCACAUCACUCCAAAGUAAGUGCUGGGGGAAGAAGUUUGAGGCUGGGCAGAUCAAAUGGUUUAGAGUUUAGGGAGAGUAGGGACUGUGCUAUACUCUUGGACACCAAGUCAAAGCAUGUACAAAGUAGGUGCUUAAGAAAUGGUUGUUGUGGGAAUGCAUUUCCCAUAUGACUUUCCUGGUGGCGUCUCCCCAGAUUCUCUUGAUGUUCUGGGUUUGUCCAGUUGGCUGAACAAAUUGCCUGUUCCUUUGAUCUAGCAAAACAAGAGUCUAGACCAGCACUGGCUAAAUAUUACUGAUGUUACCAGCCGCAUGAGGCUACUGAGCACUUGGAAUGUGGCUAGUCAUGUCCAGUAUUGUAAAAUACACACCAAAUAUUGAAGACAAUGUGAAGAAAAGAUGUAAAAUAAUAUUUUAAAAAUAUAUGUCAAACAAUGAGAAUGUUUUGAUAAAUUGCGUUAAAGGAAGUAUAUUAUUAAAAAACAAUUUUCCAUGACUUUCUAUUUUUAUAAUGUGGCCACUCGACAUUGGGAAUUACAGAUGUGGCUCGCAUUAUAUUUCUGUUGGAUAAUUCGGGGAUUAACGAUGCAAUUGUGCAUUGAGUGUCUAGUGUUUGCUGUGGCAGGUGUUGGUGAGCCCGACUCCCGCCCACUCGGAAGGCACAUUCUCGUGGGAAAAAGCACCGAAAUGCGGGAAGCACACAUUACAGCACGUCUGCUCUCACUAAUUCCUGUCAUCUCGCCUGCACCGCUCCACGUGUACCCGACUCCAUCUAAUAGGUCCAACCCCAGAACACGGGGAGAAACGCUUCCGGUGGGUUUGGAUUUCCGCAGCGCUUCUCACGGGGAAAAGUUACACGGAGGCGUACGUUUCCCAGGUAGUUUGGGCCACCCCACAGACAGUGGAUGCCAGGGCUCUGGAUGCCCAGUUCCUCAGUCUUUUCAAAACAUCCCUGGAUACAAAUUAUGACAUCCACGCAUGGGAGGUUCCGGGUCUGGCGGUGUGCGAG